GAUGAACGCUGGCGGCGUGCCUAAUACAUGCAAGUCGAGCGAACAGACGAGGAGCUUGCUCCUCUGACGUUAGCGGCGGACGGGUGAGUAACACGUGGAUAACCUACCUAUAAUACUGGGAUAACUUCGGGAAACCGGAGCUAAUACCGGAUAAUAUAUUGAACCGCAUGGUUCAAUAGUGAAAGACGGUUUUGCUGUCACUUAUAGAUGGAUCCGCGCCGCAUUAGCUAGUUGGUAAGGUAACGGCUUACCAAGGCAACGAUGCGUAGCCGACCUGAGAGGGGGAUCGGCGACACUGGAACUGAGACACGGUCAAGACGCCUACGGGAGGCAGCAGUAGGGAAUCUUCGGCAAUGGGCGAAAGCAUGACGGAGCAAGGCCGCGUGAGUGAUGAAGGCCUUCGGAUCGUAAAGCUCUGUUAUUGGGGAAGAACAAAUGUGGAAGUAAACAUGGAGGUCUUGACGGUACCGAAUCAAAAAGCAACGGCUAACUACGUG
rnacentral:rRNA from 1 species